CAGUAGCCGCGGUAAUACGUAGGUGGCAAGCGUUGUCCGGAAUUAUUGGGCGUAAAGCGCGCGCAGGCGGAUAGGUCAGUCUGUCUUAAAAGUUCGGGGCUUAACCCCGUGAUGGAAUGGAAACUGCCAAUCUAGAGUAUCGGAGAGGAAAGUGGAACUCCUAGUGUAGCGGUGAAAUGCGUAGAUAUUAGGAAGAACACCAGUGGCGAAGGCGACUUUCUGGACGAAAACUGACGCUGAGGCGCGAAAGCCAGGGGAGCGAACGGGAUUAGAUACCCCUGUAGUCCCUGUCUCUUAUACA
rnacentral:rRNA from 1 species